GGGCUCGUAGGUGAUCUGGCUGAGACAUCUGUAAUCCCGUGGUUGCCUGGUUUCACUCAGAGGAUCUGCAUGGCUAGGUGGGUGAGCCCUUCCUCCCUCGAUGCUCUGCUCCAUGUACAUCCUUCCUGAAGCUGAACUGUCCACUAAAGAGGAGGGUCUUCCCUGAUAGAAUAAGAUCAUUUUUACAUUUGCAAAGCACGACUUUCUGUUAAUUACACAGCACCUAUUUUUUUUUUCUUUUUACUGGAGCUGAGAUGGGAUU
ensembl:misc_RNA Gm26410 predicted gene, 26410